rnacentral:misc_RNA from 1 species
UAAUAAGUGUUUUAUGGCACUUUUUAAAUCCAUAUCCACCUUGUGUGCAAUGUCGGUCGGUCUUCUUUUUUUGAGGAUCGACCAAACAUCAACCUUUAUUUUUAACUCUUUGUCUGAAAAAUAUUAUGAAUAAACAAUUCAAAAUA